rnacentral:rRNA from 1 species
CCCGGCUCAACCGGGGAGGGUCAUUGGAAACUGGGGAACUUGAGUGCAGAAGAGGAGAGUGGAAUUCCACGUGUAGCGGUGAAAUGCGAUAGAGAUGUGGAGGAACACCAGUGGCGAAGGCGACUCUCUGGUCUGUAACUGACGCUGAGGAGCGAAAGCGUGGGGAGCGAACAGGAUUAGAUACCCUGGUAGUCCACGCCGUAAACGAUGAGUGCUAAGUGUUAGGGGGUUUCCGCCCCUUAGUGCUGCAGCUAACGCAUUAAGCACUCCGCCUGGGGAGUACGGUCGCAAGACUGAAACUCAAAGGAAUUGACGGGGGCCCGCACAAGCGGUGGAGCAUGUGGUUUAAUUCGAAGCAACGCGAAGAACCUUACCAGGUCUUGACAUCCUCUGACAAUCCUAGAGAUAGGACGUCCCCUUCGGGGGCAGAGUGACAGGUGGUGCAUGGUUGUCGUCAGCUCGUGUCGUGAGAUGUUGGGUUAAGUCCCGCAACGAGCGCAACCCUUGAUCUUAGUUGCCAGCAUUCAGUUGGGCACUCUAAGGUGACUGCCGGUGACAAACCGGAGGAAGGUGGGGAUGACGUCAAAUCAUCAUGCCCCUUAUGACCUGGGCUACACACGUGCUACAAUGGACAGAACAAAGGGCAGCGAAACCGCGAGGUUAAGCCAAUCCCACAAAUCUGUUCUCAGUUCGGAUCGCAGUCUGCAACUCGACUGCGUGAAGCUGGAAUC